CCACAGCAGCAGUCGAUAGGCACCAGAGAGAGGAUGUGGGCACAGGGUUGGUUUCUUCUCCGCUGGAGAGUCUCUGAAGUAGAGAGGUCUUUCCUCUGGCUGGGACGUAGGCCAGCAAUUAGCCUGUAGCGGGGAGGUUUGAAAAGGCCAUCCUGCGUGCGUGAGGAGCUCGCAAGCGCAUUGGUCCCUGCUGCUCUCUCCUGCCCCGUUCAUACUCUGGACCAUCUCUCUUACAGCUUCACCGGCCCUCAGGCUAUUUUGACCUGGGCGAUCCCUACUGUCGCCUAACGAGCACAGAGUACAACAGCCUCCAUGACCCGCAUCUGCAGGCCUACUACAAACGCAAAGACAACCUCCGGAGGCUGAAGAAAGAGGGUUACGUCACCAGCGACGGCAAAGUGGUUUGCACUCUGAAGGAGUUCAACGAGUACAGGCAGUAUCUGACCAGGCUCAAGCUGGAGGCAGAGAAAAUGGCCAGGCAAGAAAAGGAAAGGCUUCGACCACACGUGGCCAAACCAAAGGAUGCCCCCAAACUGCCAGGAGAGAGCGACGCUUCGUGCCCGGGACAGCGGCCGCUGCAGCCUCGCAAACCAUCUUGCCCACCUCCACCCAAAAGCAGAAGGAGCUCCCUCAAAUCGGGGCGAUGCGCAAGAGGGAAAGCAGCUGUGGAUGAGAGCCAAACCUGCUCCCAACCUGAGCUGGGACAGGAAGGUGCCAAGCUGCCCAGGAGGGUUAGCAGUGACGCUGACUCCAAGAGGAAGCCAUACGUCACGGCA